AGUGAACGCUGGCGGUAGGCCUAACACAUGCAAGUCGAACGGCAGCACAGGAGAGCUUGCUCUCUGGGUGGCGAGUGGCGGACGGGUGAGGAAUACAUCGGAAUCUACCUUUUCGUGGGGGAUAACGUAGGGAAACUUACGCUAAUACCGCAUACGACCUACGGGUGAAAGUGGGGGACCGCAAGGCCUCACGCGAUUAGAUGAGCCGAUGUCCGAUUAGCUAGUUGGCGGGGUAAUGGCCCACCAAGGCGACGAUCGGUAGCUGGUCUGAGAGAAUGAUCAGCCACGCUGGAACUGAGACACGGUCCAGACUCCUACGUGAGGCAGCAGUGGGGAAGAUUGGACAAUGGGCGCAAGCCUGAUCCAGCCAUACCGCGUGGGUGAAGAAGGCCUUCGGGUUGUAAAGCCCUUUUGUUGGGAAAGAAAUCCUGUCGAUUAAUACUCGGUGGGGAUGACGGUACCCAAAGAAUAAGCACCGGCUAACUUCGUGCCAGCAGCCGCCGUAAGAC
rnacentral:rRNA from 1 species